GAUGGUCGAGUGUUGUCUCAUGAGGAUGAGAUGGAGUAGACACCUUCAAAGAGAAAACAAUUCGAUCAAACAAAGAUGACAUAUUGCUUAUGUUCAAUACCAAAAUAAAACAUUGAUCCACGAUGAUACAUAAAAAAAUAUAUUACCUAUGGAACCUUUUAUUAAAAUUACUUUUCAAAGUUAUAUGAGUGCAAACGCAUUACAAAAGUUAAAUUUUUUUAAAAAAAUUCAAAUUUAAGAAAAUCCGGUUUAAUUUGGUAAGCCUGAACCAAUAUUCUAUUGACAAAGUUAAAUUCCAAUUGACUUUCAUAAAACAUUGCAAACUUGCAAUAAUCUUACAAUACUAAAAGGGGAAUAUGAAGCCCUCUGAGCUAUGCCACAUCAACAAAUUAAAUCAACCAAUGAAAGAGUUUCAAUUUGACAGGUCACUUAAGCUUUCUCGACCAAAUCUUAAACGGGGCAUUCCUGUGGGCUUUAUAUUUUGUUUUUUGUUCCUUUGGUACGGGCCUGUAUGGCUCUUUAAAAUAAAAUCGAUAACGUAAUAUAUUGUGCUCUUCGACUUCCCUUCCUCAACACUUUAUAAAUCGAUUAAAAAAAACUGCAGAAGAGUCACCACAAAAUAUGAACAGCUCUUCCUUAUGCUGUUUUUUUCAUUGAGCGAUUCUUUGAUACACACGAUGACACGAACCUAAAAGUCUCUUUCUUUUUUUCAGGGGCAUCCGUGAUGAAUGAAGCUACAAGCGGUAUUCAUCCUUACCCUUUGCCUCCGUAAGUCCAGUCCGUCUACGUCUCUUUCAUCAUCACUAGAGAUUUCUUCGGCGAACUGGUAAGAGAUCCAAACCUUUGUUAAUUGUUUUACAUAUUCUUAUAGUUUUUAUAUCUCCAGAUUCGUUUUGUGAUUAGAACAGAACUAUUCUUUAUCUACAAUAGAGAGCUAGAGACAAUAAUUGAUUGUUUUAGGGUUUGGGAGUUUCCACUUCCAUGAAUCAGUGAAGACCGGGCUGAUAGAUAAAGUAAGCAGAGGAUUCCGCUUUUUAUUAUUUUUCAGAGAAAAUUCUCAGAAUUUCACCAGUCAAAUUCAUAGCAAGGAGAUCCUACCAGCCAAAUUCAAACGUAGACCUUCGAGUUAUUCAUGCUUUUUAUUGUUCUAGAGUUAUUCGUGUUGCAAAACCGUGAAGAUCCUGUCAUAAAAAAAAUAAACGUGAAGAUCUUCAUAUCUGUAGUGAGGCACUCACAACGCACAGUCAAUGACAGAGAGGCGAAGAAAAACAUUGUAUUUUUUUUAAUCAUUUGUUGCUUUCUUACUUUUAGUUUCAAACUUUUGUGCUUAUCUUUUUUCUGCUAGGCAAGAUAUUUUUUCCAGCAGAUUAUAUCAAGAGUCAGAUUGCCAUGAUGUAGAGAAAUGACUUUGAAGUUCUUCUUAACUCUCGCAGACAUAUUGAAGUGUAGUUUAUCACUCCUGUAGGCACACUAUUUUUUCCUUAUUCUCAUAGCAAAUACGCCAGAGUUAGAGGAGAUUGGAAAUAUACCACUUUGUUUAUGAUCAAGUCAGAUUGUACGGGAUCCUCAUUCUCUGUGUAACAUGAACUCUAAAUUAAUUAA